UACGGAGGAUGCAAGCGUUAUCCGGAUUCAUUGGGUUUAAAGGGUGCGUAGGCGGGAUAGCAAGUCAGUGGUGAAAGCCUACAGCUUAACUGUAGAAUUGCCAUUGAUACUGUUAUCCUUGAGUGCAGUUGAGGUAGCUGGAAUGCGUGGUGUAGCGGUGAAAUGCUUAGAUAUCACGCAGAACGCCGAUUGCGAAGGCAGGUUACUAAACUGCAACUGACGCUGAGGCACGAAAGCGUGGGGAGCAAACAGG
rnacentral:rRNA from 1 species